GACGAACGCUGGCGGCGUGCUUAACACAUGCAAGUCGAACGGAAAGGCCCUGCUUUUGUGGGGUGCUCGAGUGGCGAACGGGUGAGUAACACGUGAGUAACCUGCCCUUGACUUUGGGAUAACUUCAGGAAACUGGGGCUAAUACCGGAUAGGAGCUCCUGCUGCAUGGUGGGGGUUGGAACGUUUCGGCGGUUGGGGAUGGACUCGCGGCUUAUCAGCUUGUUGGUGGGGUAGUGGCUUACCAAGGCUUUGACGGGUAGCCGGCCUGAGAGGGUGACCGGCCACAUGGGGACUGAGAUACGGCCCAGACGCCGACGGGAGGCAGCAGUGGGGAAUAUUGCACAAUGGGCGGAAGCCUGAUGCAGCAACGCCGCGUGCGGGAUGACGGCCUUCGGGUUGUAAACCGCUUUCGCCUGUGACGAAGCGUGAGUGACGGUAAUGGGUAAAGAAGCACCGGCUAACUACGUG
rnacentral:rRNA from 1 species